rnacentral:rRNA from 1 species
CAUGCUAGUCGCGCGGGUUAGACCCGCGGCGUAUAGCUCAGUAACACGUGGCCAAACUACCCACCAGACAGGAACAACCUCGGGAAACUGAGGCUAACUCCUGAUACGCGUUGACCGUUUGAAGACGUCGACGCUCAAACGCUCCGGCGCUGGUGGAUGUGGCUGCGGCCGAUUAGGUAGACGGUGGGGUAACGGCCCACCGUGCCGAUAAUCGGUACGGGUUGUGAGAGCAAGAGCCCGGAGACGGAAUCUGAGACAAGAUUCCGGGCCCUACGGGGCGCAGCAGGCGCGAAACCUUUACACUGCACGCCAGUGCGAUAAGGGGACCCCGAGUGAAAGGGCAUAUCGCCCUUUCUUUUCUGAACCGUAGGGAGGUUCGGGAACAAGAGCUGGGCAAGACCGGUGCCAGCCGCCUCGGUAAUACCGGCAGCUCAAGUGAUGACCGAUCUUAUUGGGCCUAAAGCGUCCGUAGCUGGCCGCGCAAGUCCGUCGGGAAAUCCACCCGCUUAACGGGUGGGCGUCCGGCGGAAACUGCACGGCUUGGGACAGGAAGGCUCGAGGGGUACGUUCGGGGUAGGAGUGAAAUCCCGUAAUCCUGAACGGACCGCCGAUGGCGAAAGCACCUCGAGAGGACUGAUCCGACAGUGAGGGACGAAAGCUGGGGUCUCGAACCGGAUUAGAUACCCGGGUAGUCCCAGCCGUAAACGAUGUUCGCUAGGUGUGCCACUCACUACGAGUGAGUGGUGUGCCGCAGGGAAGCCGCUAAGCGAACCGCCUGGGAAGUACGUCCGCAAGGAUGAAACUUAAAGGAAUUGGC